ACUCCGUGGACUCGAGGACACGCUGGCGGCGUGCCUAACACAUGCAAGUCGAACGGAGCAGAGACUUCGGUUUUUGCUUAGUGGCGAACGGGUGAGUAACGCGUGAGAAACCUGCCUUUCAGUGGGGGGACAACAGUUGGAAACGACUGCUAAUACCGCAUAACGUUAUUUGGGGGCAUCCCCGGGUAACCAAAGCUUUAUGUGCUGAAAGAUGGUCUCGCGUCUGAUUAGCUAGAUGGCGGGGUAACGGCCCACCAUGGCGACGAUCAGUAGCCGGUCUGAGAGGAUGAACGGCCACAUUGGGACUGAGAUACGGCCCAGACUCCUACGGGAGGCAGCAGUGGGGAAUAUUGGGCAAUGGGGGAAACCCUGACCCAGCAACGCCGCGUGAAGGAAGAAGGCCUUCGGGUUGUAAACUUCUUUUAGUAGGGACGAAUACGUGACGGUACCUACAGAAAAAGCAACGGCUAACUACGUG
rnacentral:rRNA from 1 species